AUUCCAUGGUGUGAACAUUGCCUCAAUAAUUCUUUGAAUCUUUCCUAAGCAUAAAAAAAAUACCCAUCUUCUCCUUGCCUAAAUAAAGUGAUUUCAUUUCUCAAUUU